ACCAUUUGAGUUAACAUAACAACUCUAAUAAUUAAAGAGCUUCAUCCGACCUAGCUGCUUCGGCCGGAAAAAAUAUCAUUCAACUUGCGAACUCUGUGAAUUCCUUUCAAAUUGUUGGAACAGCAAGAUGAUGGAGUUGGAAGGUUCUAGAAAGCCAUGGCGAGUUCUGGAGUUCUACAGUGGCAUUGGCGGCAUGCGAUAUUCUUUGCUCAAAUCCGCCGUCAAGGCCACCGUUGUGGAAGCUUUCGACAUAAACGACGUCGCUAAUGACGUUUACCAGCACAAUUUCGGUCACCGCCCCUUUCAGGGUAAUAUUCAGACUCUGAAUGCCACUGAUCUUGAUCGCUACAAUGCUGAUGCUUGGUUGCUUUCUCCUCCUUGUCAGCCAUAUACACGCCAAGGACUCCAGAAAGGUUCCUGUGAUGCGCGUGCAUCAUCUUUUAUUAAAAUUCUGGAACUUAUACCACAGCUAUUGCAGCCUCCAUCAUAUCUUUUUGUGGAAAAUGUUGUAGGAUUUGAGACUUCUGAUACCCAUGAGAUAUUGGUCAAAAUAUUGGAAAAGAAUAAUUUUGUUACACAAGAAUUUAUUUUGAGUCCACUGCAAUUUGGACUGCCAUAUUCUCGUCCUCGUUAUUAUUGCUUGGCCAAAAGGAAACCUUUAUCCUUUGAAGUCCCUGAAUUUAAUAAUCAGCUUCUUCGGACCCCUGGCCCUUUACUUGGACAGACUGAAAGCGCAAUGGAAAAGGAACGGCUGCAAUCGGCAGAGUAUUGGGAUGAGCUGCUUCAAGCUUGUCAACCUGUGGAACAUUUUCUUGUAUUUAAAACUUUUGGCAAGGGGGAGGACUCAUCAACUUACUCUUUCCAUGCCAAUGACUCUGCAAAAUCAGAUAGAAGUGAUGAGGAAAAUAAUGUGUACUUUGUUCCAUCAAGCUUGGUCGAAAGAUGGGGAAGUGCCAUGGAUAUUGUUUAUCCUCAUUCAAAGCGUUGCUGUUGUUUUACAAAAAGUUAUUACAGAUAUGUGAAGGGUACUGGCUCCCUGCUGGCAACUGUCCAGGAUUACCUUGAUAUUUCUUGUUUAGGCAUUCCAUAGAAAUGGAGAAGAAAACUGAAUAGCUGAAUGCAAGUUUUUGGUAAUUAUAAGGAACAUGAGAUGUCAGACAUGCAACCAUGAUUCUGCAUAUCAGGGAAGAUAUAUUGAUUACUGCUUAUUUUCGUAGCCCCUUACAAUAAGUGCUCGUUUGGGUGGUUAGUAUGGAGAAAUAAUCACCGUAUAGAACUCAGCAUUGUUUUGUACAUUGUUUGGUUACUAGUUUGUUCUUCCUUAUAAUAAUGCUUGUAUAAGUUAUGCCGGAAUUUAUGUAUUAUUUUAUAUCGGACAGGAUAUGGAAUAACAAUAUGGGUAUUAGCAGACAUGGAUUAAAAAUUCAACAAGAAAUAAUCUCUGCACUAUUAUCCCUGGUUAACUUAACCCUACACUACUUAUUCCUAAACUUCUCUUUGAACCAAACAACCCCUAAGUAGUUCCACAUUCUUUAAAAUUUUACAAGAGAUCUAUUCCUUCUCUUUUAUGCCUCCUCCUGUAUUUACAUUAAUUGAAAACCCCAAUUUGAGCAUGUUGUUUCUAUGAGACCUAUGUACAUCUUGUUAACAGUGAUCACAUGGAUUCUUUUUGACUGCAAGUUGUGGUUUUUGUGGAGGUUUAUCUGUCUUCCCUCUCUCUGUAGAAUGAAUUUGUUGUAGAUGUCAGACAUUACACUAGUAGGAGCAUUUUUAGCAUCCAAGGAUGUUCUAGCGGUCAAUGAAGGUGGAAUGAAGACUAUAAGAGAGGAGAAAUUUUACAUUGUGUUAAAUACAACUCGUAUUACUUGAGUGAGGAUGGUCAUUGCUUGCCAAGGUGGCAUUUGUGGGUUCACAAUAAUGCAUCAUUCAAAUCUCCGUCUUCCCAAUAAGAAGCAGUUGGUUUGUCAAAUCUCAACUUUGAGAAUUUUUGGAUUAAAAGCGGCAUUAUUGUAUUUUGGAGGCUGAAAUGAGUUUAGUUGCAAUUUGGUUAUUAUAGUACUAAACUAUGUGUUUAGUAGUUUUAAAUUUUUUGUAACUUGUACGCUUCACUUCAUGCUUUUCGCUCCAAGCCUCAUCAACACUGUCAUUUUUUGCGCUUUUCCCUUUAAAAACACUUCUCUCCAGUGAUUUCAUGGGGUACCAUUUCAUAAAUCCAGGAAAAGAUAGAGAAUAGAACACCUUCACUGCAGGAUCUGUGUCUAAGAUACUUCACACCUAGGGAGGUUGCAAAUUUGCAUUCUUUUCCAGAAGACUUCCAGUUUCCACAACACAUUAGUCUUC